AGGUGCUAUUAGCCACCGUACCUGGCUAAUUUUUUAUUUUCUGUACAGAUAGGGUGUGACUAUGCUGCCCAGGCUGGUCUCAAACUCCUGGAUGCAAGGAAUUCUCCCACCUUGGCCUUCCAAAGUGCUGGGAUUACAGGCAUGAGCCACUGUGCCCAGUCUCCCACCCUGGUUUUUCAUCAUAGUUUGUUUAGAGACGGGCCUGGCUCUGUCCUCCAGGUUGGAGUACAAUGGCACAAUCACAGUUCACUACAGCCUUGGACUCCUGGGCUCAAGUGAUCCUCCUGUCUUAGCCUCCCAAGAAGCUAGAAGCACAGAUGCACAACAUCAUGCUCAGUUAUUAUUAUUUUUUUGUAGAGACGGGCUCUCACUAUGUUGUUCAGGCUGGUCUCAAACUCCUGGGCUCAAGUGAUCCUCCCCAUUCAGCCUCCCAAAGUGCUGAGAUUACCAGCAUGAACCACUGUGCCUGUCCCUCAUCAUAGUUAUUUCUAUUUGAAAUAAUAUUUUUCAGUUAGUUACUGGUUUAUUUGUUUACCUGCUCCCCCCAAAUCCAUAAUAGUAGGACCUUGUGAUCUGGGUAACAUUAUAUCCCCCAGUGCUUAGAAAGGUACCUAGCACAUGGUAGACACUCAAUAAAUAUUUGUGGAAUAAAUACCUGGGGGAAUAAGGUCCCUGAAGGUAGCAAGAUCCCCAUCAGUGGAGGCAUUUAAACAUGGUUUGCACAACCACUUGCCAGGGCCAUCGAAAACUAUGGGCAGAGGCUUAGUCACAAGAAUAAAAGACUGCAUAGGUCCCUUCUAGUCCUAUGUACCUACGAUUAUAUGGCCACCACACCUUUUUUGCUAUGCAAUGGGAAAAGC
rnacentral:lncRNA from 1 species